GCACCGCGCCCGCCACCGCCCUGGCAGCCCGACUUCCUGCUGGAGGUUUCCUGUGGCUUGGGGCUCCGCCCGGUAUGGGGAAAGUUUAAGGCGGAAGAGCCCUCGUUUGUCGGCUGCUUGGGAAGUCUGAGGAUUACUGGGACUAACAGGACUUCAGCUGGGGCUUCAACGUGUGGUGUGGGCUUCCUGACACCACGGCCACUGGUUUCCAAGAGUUUCAACAAUAUUUUCAUCAUAUUUAUUGAAGGCCUCACUGACAGACUUCUCAAGGCCCCUCUACCUUCUAUUCGCUGCCUGGCCCCAAAGCCAGUGCCACACAUUUUAGGUUUUUAACUGCAGCAGCACCUAUGAUGUUUCCAAAAUCUGUAUCAUUAAAGUUUGAUCAGAGAAGCAAAACCACCUUGAGCAAAACAAGGAAUUUAUUAAAGAGAUUAGGAUACACAUUGUUAUGAAAGCUGCAACCUGCUGCCCCUGUGUCCAGAAGUGGGCCUGAAGUCAGCAGGGCUGGCAAAUGGAUGUGCAGUGGGAGAGAGUAGGCGUGAGCUGCACCUGCAGGGAGGAGAUGGAACUCCUGUGGAUGGACUGAAACUGAUGUCUUCCACGUCAGCCUCUCAGGCCUCCAACACUCCAGCGCUGAUGAUGAAGAUGACCUGCAGAGGAGCUGGUGCCCUUCACCAUGGAAUUGCUCAUAAACCCAAGAUUCAGUGAAGCUGAAGAAGCAGUUCUGGUGGGAGCUGGAGGAACUGCAGGCACAGCUGCUGCCCUGUACCAAUACAUUGAGCCAGUGGCUGCCUGGCAUUGUGUGUGAGCCACCACAGCGCCUGGCCCUACACAGACUUUGACUGUAAAUAUGACUGCUGUUUCACUUCUGCCUUCCAAAUUUUGCUCAGAUUUUCUGAGAAACAUAGUUCAGCUUAGGUACAUUGACACAGUACAAAGCCACCGCAGUGGCUGGUUAGGGAGGGAUUAUGAAUGCAGGCUGAGAAUGCACGGGAAGCGUUUGUCUAUUUAUAGAGUAGGUACCAUUCAAGGAUUUAUGUGAAUCAGGUGCAAAGAACUCACACAAAGAUGGGGAAAGUUAGUACUUAGAAAUCAGUGAUACUAGAUAACCAAUAAAUAAAAAUAAACUUAUUUUUAGAAAAUAAGAAAAUAGAAAAGCUUUAAUAAAAUAGUAUUGGGCCGGGUGCAGUGGCUCACGCCUGUAAUCCUAGCACUUUGGGAGACUGAGGUGGGCGGAUCACCUGAGGUCAGGAGUUCCAGACCAGCCUGGCCAACAUGGUGAAACCCAAUCUCUACUAGAAAAAACCACAAAAAUUAGCUGGGCGUGGUGGUACGUGCCUGUAAUCCUAGCUCCUCGGGAAGCUGAGGCAGGAGAAUCGCUUGAACUCAGGAGGUGGAGGGUGCAGUGAGCCAAGAUCGUGCCAUUGCACCCCAGCCUGGGUGACAGAACAAGAUUCUAUCUCAAAAAAAUAAAAAUAAAAAUAAAUAAAUAAAAUAGUAUUGAAAUGGUGAAUAAUACUAUUUCAGCACAUCCUAAACAGAUCAUGCAGAUAGUAAGAGGUUUUCUGCAUGAGUUUGCUAGGGCUGCCGUAACAAAACACCAUGGACGGGAGCUUUAACAACAGAAAUUGAUUUCUCACAGUUCUGCAGGCAGGGUGUUCAGGACCAAGAUAUUGGCAGGCUUGGUUUCUCUGAAUCCUCUCUCCUUGGCUUGCAGGUGGCUGUUUUCUUUUCUUUUUUCUUUUUUUUUCUUUGAGAUGGAGUCUCACUCUGUCACCCAGGCUGGAGUGCAGUGGCGCAAUCUCAGCUCACUGCAGCCUCUGCCUCCUGGGUUCAAGCGAUUCUCCUGCCUCAGCCUCCUGAAUAGCUGGGAUUACAGGUGCCUGCCACCACGCCCAGCUAAUUUUUGUAUUUUUAGUAGAGAUGGGGUUUCACCAUGUUGAUCAGGCUGAUCUCAAACUCAGGACUUCGUGAUCCACCUGCUUCGGCCUCCCAAAGUGCUGGGAUUACAGGUGUGAGCCACCACGCCCGGCAGCUUGCAGGUGGCUGCUUUCUUGCUGUGUGUUCACAUGGUCAUUCGUCUGUGUGUGCACACGUGUAGUGUCUGUGUCUGUGUCCUAGCCUCCUCUUCUUAUAAGGACACCAGUCAAACUGGAUUAGGGCCCACUUUCCUGACCCCCUUUUACCUUAAUUCCCAUUUUAAAAGGCUUAUCUUCAAAUACCAUCACAUUCUAAGGUACUGGGGGUUAGAGCUUCAAUAUGUGAGUUUUAGGGAGACACAGUUGAGCUCAUAACAUUUUCUAUAGAACAAUCAAGUUUGAGACAUGCCACAUGCUAUAUUUUCUUCUUGGAAAUUUGCAAGGUAUAUAUGCAUAUGAAUGACUGUGCAAAGUCCUGGAAAACAUCCAGUAUUCAUCUUUCACACUCUCCCUGUUUGAUCCAUUAUUUAUUGAUAACCUUCCACUGGCUUCCUUUAUGCAUUGGCUGAGUGCAUUGAGCUGCCGCAUGGAAAUAUGAUCUGCCGGCUGCCGCUGGCAGUCAGGAAGGGAAGGUGGACAUGGAGAGAGCAAGCAAAAGCUGGAGUCUCAAGGAGAUGAAGUGGAACCCAGGGCUGUAUCUCAUUAGAGCGCAUGUUGGCCUCUCAUCACUUCCAGGCCUCCGGCUUUGAAGAUGCUCGGGGAGUUGCUUUGGAGGGCUACGUGGAGAGAAUGGGAUUGGUAAGUGGGCAAGAGGGUUGGUUCUUGCUGGAUGGAAUUGCGUCUUCCAUCUCUUCCAAGGGGACUUCUGGAUUGCCAGGGGCCUGGCAUGUCCUGCCUCACCCAUACUUGCUGGCCAGGGUGAGUGGCCUCUCACCUGGCCUAACCUUGCUGCCCUCUUUGUUGUGCUCUUUGUGGGUGAGGAAAAGAGCAGAGCUGCGGAUGCCACUGGAGCGUGGCCAGGCUGGGUGAGGACCCACACAGAAAAGUGUGGGCAGGCGUGGUGGGUGGGGGCGGGGGAUAAGGCAUGGGCCCUGGGCAGUCAGCCAGUGCCCCCGUCACGCCCUGGCUCCAGGUGUCCAGCAUCAGCCGUGUGCACAUCCCACCUCGCAGGCCUCUCCCGGCUGCUGGCCCACUUUCUGCAUGCUACUCCUACUUCUCUGACCUCCUGCUCAGCUCAGCUAUCCUAGCUCCGAGUUUCGCCUUUCUUCUUGAAUACAAUCAGAAUUCUCUCUGUUGGCCCUGGACCCCCAUGCUGAACAAUUCCCAUGGUGCUGGCCUUCUCUCAAUCCUCUGAAUUAAACCCCAGACUCACUGCAAGUCUUCAGCCAAGUGAAGACUUCCGGUGGCCUCUCUGCCACCCUGGCACUCGAGGAAGCAGAUGCUUCUCUCUCUUCCUGUAGUGCUCUUACCAUGAAUCAUCUCCAGGUCCUCCCAACAGGAUCAGUCAGCUCCUCAUCUCAGCUGUGCUGUAACCCUGGUAUCUCUGCAGCCUGGUGAAGAUGACGGUGUUUUAAUGAAGCGUACAUCUCUACAGUAACUGGCCUGGCACAUGCAAACAGGAACAGCAGCUUCCUCUCCUGCAAGGCACGGUGCAGAUUGCUUUCCACGCAUUAUUUCUGCUCCUCGCACCACCCUCCCCAACCCGAAAGAUAGAGCAUAUUGUCCUAAUUUUACCAAGCAGAAAACUGGCUCCCAGAGAGCAGCUCUGCUCAGCUAGGGCAUGUCAGAGCACUGCCUGGGACCCACAUCUCCUGACUCCAGGGCCAAGGCACCUCUGGGCCCUCACACGGGCAUUAAUAGAGAUACAUUUCAUGUUCAAACCAGCCCUUUGGCCAAGCAUCAUCCUCAGUCUCUCAGAACUUACUGCAUUUUCUUCUAAACCCCAAUUCAAAAGUUCCAUAUAGCAUGGUGGUUCGUGCCUAUAAUCCCAGUGGGAGGCCAAAGUGGGGGGACUGCUUGAAGCCAGGAAUUUGAGACCAGCCUGGGUAACAAAGCGAGACCCCAUGUGUAAAAAAUAAAAUAAAUGAAAAAUUAGCUGGGCGUGAAGGUGCACUCUUGUAGUCCCAGCUACUCCAAAGUCUAAGGCGGGAGAAUUACUUAAGCCCAGGAGUUCGAGGCUGCAAUAAGUCAUGAUUGUACCGUAGCACUCCAGCCUGGGUGACAGAGAGAGACCCUGUCUCUAAAAAACAAAAGAAAUAAAAAAUUAGCUGAGCAGGGUUGCACAUACCUGCAGUCCCAGCUCCUUGGGAGGCUGAGGCAGGAGAAUUGCUUGAGUCUAGGAGGUCAAGGCUGCAGUGAGCUGUGGCCGUACCACUGCACUCCAGCCUGGGCGACAGAGCAA
ensembl:lncRNA LINC02427 long intergenic non-protein coding RNA 2427